rnacentral:rRNA from 1 species
GACGAACCACCCAAACGUUAUUCGGAAUUACUGGGCUUAAAGGGUGCGUAGGCGGUGCGGAAAGUUGGGUGUGAAAUACCUCAGCUUAACUGAGGAACGGCGCUCAAAACUACCGUGCUCGAGUGAGAUAGAGGUGAGCGGAACUUAGGGUGGAGCGGUGAAAUGCGUUGAUAUCCUAAGGAACACCGGUGGCGAAAGCGGCUCACUGGAUCUCUUCUGACGCUGAGGCACGAAAGCUAGGGUAGCGAACGGG